rnacentral:rRNA from 1 species
UAGCUGGUUUCUCAAAAAAAGAAUUUUAGUCCAACCUAAAGUUAUAUAAAUUUCCAUAAAUUUCCCCCCCACUUUAGAGCAACUCAAAUGAGGUACAGCCCAUUUGAUACAGGAUCCAACCUUUACUAACGGGUAAUACCUGAUUCCACCCCAAGUAGGCUUAAGAGCAGCCACCUUUUAAAAAGCGUCAAACCUUAACUGUAUUAACCCAAUUCACAAACCCCCAUCGACCCCUUUCACCCUACUGAGAACUUCUAUAAAAUUAUAGAACCUUUAAUGUUAAAACUAGUAACAAGAGAUAUACCCUCUCUGUAAUGUAAACUAAAGCCAGCAAGAACCCAUCACUGGCAAUCAACAGAAACAAAGUAGUAAAUUUCUCCAGAAAACUCUACUCCCCUAACUGUUAACCUAACACAAGAACAUUCUAAGAAAGAUUAAAGAAAAAGAAGGAACUCGGCAAACAUUAAUCUCGCCUGUUUACCAAAAACAUGCCUCUUUCACCCAUAAGAGGUCCAGCCUGCCCAGUGACUUUGUUAACGGCCGCGGUAUCCUAACCGUGCGAAGGUAGGUAAUCACUUGUYUUUUAAAUAGAGACUUGUUGAAAGGCACCCGAGGUUAAGCUGUUCCUCUUCCAAUCAGUGAACCUAAUCUCCCGUGAAAAAGCGGGAAUUUUUAUAUAAGACGAGAAGACCCCAUGGAGCUUAAAACAUUAUAACACUGCACCCCCCUACAUUGACAAUUAGAUAUUAACACCCACGGCACACUAAUUAUAUGUUUUCGGUUGGGGUGACCGGGAGGAAAACCCAUCCCCCACGAUGACGGACCCCCCCCAAACAAUAAGUUACACCUUUAUGUAUCAACAAAUUGACUUAUUGACCCAAUAUAUUGAUUAACGAACCAAGUUACCCUGGGGAUAACAGCGCAAUCCACUUUGAGAGCCCAUAUCGACAAGUGGGCUUACGACCUCGAUUUGGACAGGGUACCCCAGUGGUGCAGCCCUACUUUCGUUUC